AGAGGAAUCUGAUAGCUGCAGUACGAGGGUUGAGUCUGAUGAGAGAGGGAGAGGCAGAGAGAGGGGGAGAGACAGGAGGGAGAAAGAGAAGGAGAAAUAUUGCGACUCAGAGGAUGGACGACUGUCCCGAACCCAGUCCACAACUGAUCUUCAGCCACAGAGGUCAGACAAUCAAACUAGAAAGGGCCUCAGAUCUUCUAAACCAUGGCAGAGAGUUCUACCUGAAAGUACUCAAACACAGUCUGACCUAAAGGGCUGGAUGUCAAAACUGGAUGAAUAUGGGGAGUGGAGGAGACACUGGUUUGUGAUGAGGGACGCUGCACUGAGUUUCUACAUGGACUCUGAGGCUGAGGAGUCAGAUGACCUGGAUGGAGAGAUAGACCUGACGACCUGUAUGAAUGUCCAAGACUUUGACGUGGAGAAGAACUAUGGAU